GUACUAGCUUUUACAUAGUCUAAAAUUAGAACGAUACAGAGAGGAUUAGCAUGGUCCCUACACAAGGAUAACAUGCAAAUUCGUGAAGCGUUCUAUGUUUUU